AUGUGGCACUUUUUGGAUUUCUAGAUUCAAACAAGUCUAUCUUUGACCGUGAAUUUUUCAUAGAUUUUUUAAACAUUUUGAAUUACCAAUUAUUGUGACUUAUAGUACUUUUUACGUAGUUUACAAAUAUAUAAAUUUCAUUUCAAAAAAAUUGAAGAUCCCAUGCGUAAAUUUUCGGUCAAACUUAAACUAUUUGACUCUUGAAAAACAAAAAGUGCCACAUAA
rnacentral:pre_miRNA from 1 species